rnacentral:rRNA from 1 species
CCCGCUCCCGGUAAAACGGGACGGCCCGCCAGAGGACCCCUAAACUCUGUUUCUAUAUGUAACUUCUGAGUAAAACCAUAAAUAAAUCAAAACUUUCAACAACGGAUCUCUUGGUUCUGGCAUCGAUGAAGAACGCAGCAAAAUGCGAUAAGUAAUGUGAAUUGCAGAAUUCAGUGAAUCAUCGAAUCUUUGAACGCACAUUGCGCCCGCCAGUAUUCUGGCGGGCAUGCCUGUUCGAGCGUCAUUUCAACCCUCAAGCCCCCGGGUUUGGUGUUGGGGAUCGGCGAGCCCUUGCGGCAAGCCGGCCCCGAAAUCUAGUGGCGGUCUCGCUGCAGCUUCCAUUGCGUAGUAGUAAAACCCUCGCAACUGGUACGCGGCGCGGCCAAGCCGUUAAACCCCCAACUUCUGAAUGUUGACCUCGGAUCAGGUAGGAAUACCCGCUGAACUUAAGCAUAUCAAUA